rnacentral:rRNA from 1 species
AUUGAGAGCUUGUAUGAAGGGUUGGACGAGAUAAAAUCUGUCUUUAUUUAAAUUACAAUAAAAUUUAACUUUUAAGUCAAAAGGCUUAAAUGUGUAUAAAAGACGAGAAGACCCUAUAGAUCUUUAUUUAGUUAAUAUUUUAAUAAUUUAGGAUUAUUUUAAUUUAAAGUUUUAAUUAAAUUUUAUUGGGGUAAUAUAAAGAUUAAAUAAAUUCUUUUUAUUUAUUACAUUAAUUUAUGAAUUUGUGAUCCAAUAUUAUUGAUUAUAAGAUUAAGUUACCUUAGGGAUAACAGCGUAAUUUUUUUGGAGAGCUCAUAUCGAUAAAAAAGUUUGCGACCUC